GACGAACCGUCCAAACGUUGUUCGGAAUCACUGGGCUUAAAGGGCGCGUAGGCGGGCUGCCAAGUCCGGGGUGAAAUCCUCCCGCUUAACGGGAGAACUGCCUCGGAUACUGGAAGUCUCGAGGAGGGUAGGGGCAUGCGGAACUGUGGGUGGAGCGGUGAAAUGCGUUGAUAUCCAUAGGAACUCCGGUGGCGAAGGCGGCAUGCUGGACCCUUUCUGACGCUGAGGCGCGAAAGCCAGGGGAGCAAAGCGGG
rnacentral:rRNA from 1 species